CUCACAUCCAUCUUAAAUGCAUCACUACGCACUGGCACUUUUCCCAACACAUUCAAGCCGACUUGAGCAACCAACAUUUAAUACCAGACCACCUGCAGACUAGUCUCUCUUCUCCAAUUCACUGCGAAAACCUGACUGAGAUGUUUUCUUCUUUCUUCUCACAGAACAAGCUGCUGUACAGCAAUCAGUGAGGAUUUGACUUGCCUGAGUUGAUUACAAAGUGGACAUUCAACAGAUACGGCCUUGACUGAAGCCUUUGUGGGUGGAAAGUAUAUAAUGCAUCCUCAUUUUGUCGGACUUGUAUGCUGCCUUUGACACUGUCUCUUUUCUAACCUCUCCAACUUGGGCAUCACAAACAAGUGCAGAGAGGCUCCUAAGUCCUACCUUACAGGCAGAUUCUUCAGGGGAUCAUGAGGUAUCAAUUAACCACAGGGGUACAGCAGGGUUCGGUGCUUGGCCCCUGCCUCUUUUCAAAAUAUAUAUUUCUUCUGGGAUCAUCCAGGAUGUGGGUUUUUCAGGAAAACAGCGAGCAGAUGAGGAGUACAAUGGCAUCAUCCUCAUGCUGCGAUACCCGUCCGGAACAAGUUCUGACCUUCCUCAUGCGCACCAUCUUUGUUUCCGCCCGUGGCGACUGUUCAGACCCCAGAGGGGAAGGAAGAGAGCAUGUGUGCCCUCUGCUUUGGUGCUGUGUGUUUUGGAGCCAUCUGUCACAUGGGCCUCUGCCUUCACCUCACUCUUCCUCUCAGUGGAGCGUGGACGGCCCGUGGGCGUGGACGUCUCUUUACGGUCAGUGCGGGCGACAGAUGCUACUGGGGAAGGAGCCAUGUCACCUGGAGAGAUGGGAGAUAUGAUGGGAGCGCUGACGGGACGGGUGUUCUUAUCCGGGGUCGAGACCAUGGCUGUCAGAGAGUUUGUUUGGGACAGAGGAGAAAGAAAAAGGUUUCAGCUCUAGGACUUUCAUGCCUUUUGAAUUGAUCAGGCUCCUGUUGGACUGUGGGAGACGCUCUGCGCUUUAACUCCAACAAACACAAAAACAACUGCUUCAGGACUUUAAUGUCUUCACCAGUGCAUUCUGGGAGUUGUGAUCCACAAGAAUUAACAAUACCAAACUUACCUUCAGUUAAAUGUCUCUUGUCAAUCAAACUACUAAUCAAAACAGCAAUCUGUCUCGCUUUUUCUUCUACAAGCAUCUCAGAGAGGGUCGUUUGCUGAUUGCAUCA